UCCAGCCUGGGUGACAGAGUGAGACUCUGUCUGUCUGUCUGUCUCUCUCUCUCUCUCUCUCUCUCUCUCUCUCUCUCUCUCUCUCUCACGCAGACACACACACACACAGAAUGAAUGAAUGGGUGAUUUGUCGAGCCUUUCCAGGAUCACCGAUGGAAGUUAUAUGUGUUCCCUUCCAGGGCCAGGCACAGUGGUUUGCACCUGUCAUCCCAACACUUUGGGAGGUUUAGGUGGGAGGAUCGCUUGAAGCCUGGAGAUUGAAACCAGCCUGAGCACCAAAGCAAGAGUUCAUCUCUAACAACAACAACAACAAAAUUAGCCAGGUGUUGUGGUAGGCACCUGUAGUCCCAGCUACUUGGGAGGUUGAGAUGGGAGGAUCACUUGAAACUGGGCCACAGAGUGAGAUCCUGUCAAAAAAAAAAAAAAAAAAGAA